rnacentral:rRNA from 1 species
AACGUAGGACGCAAGCGUUAUCCGGAAUUACUGGGCGUAAAGAGCGUGUAGGCGGAUGGUCAAGUCGGGCAUGAAAGCUCCUGGCUAAACUGGGAGAGGUUGUUCGAAACUGGUCGUCUAGAGUGCGAUAGAGGAGUGUGGAAUUCCGCGUGUAGUGGUGAAAUGCGUAGAUAUGCGGAGGAACACCAGUGGCGAAGGCGGCACUCUGGGUCGCAACUGACGCUGAGACGCGAAAGCAUGGGGAGCGAACGGGAUUAGAUACCCCUGUA